rnacentral:rRNA from 1 species
UACGUAGGGUGCAAGCGUUAAUCGGAAUUACUGGGCGUAAAGCGUGCGCAGGCGGUUAUGCAAGACAGAUGUGAAAUCCCCGGGCUCAACCUGGGAACUGCAUUUGUGACUGCAUGGCUAGAGUACGGUAGAGGGGGAUGGAAUUCCGCGUGUAGCAGUGAAAUGCGUAGAUAUGCGGAGGAACACCGAUGGCGAAGGCAAUCCCCUGGACCUGUACUGACGCUCAGGUGCGAAAGCCAGGGGAGCGAACGGG